UUACGGCCAUAUCACAUUGAAACACGGGUUCUCGUACGAUCAGCGAAGUUAAGCAAAGUCAAGCCUGGUCAGUAUCUCGAUGGGUAAUAACUUGGUAAUAUCAGGU